CCUACGGGUGGCAGCAGUGGGGAAUAUUGCGCAAUGGGCGCAAGCCUGACCCAGCAACGCCGCGUGAAGGAAGAAGGCUUUCGGGUCGUAAAGUUCUUUUCUGAGGGACGAAGAAAGUGACGUUACCUCAGGAAUAAGCCACGGCUAACUACGUGCCAGCAGCCGCGGUAAUACGUAGGUGGCAAGCGUAAUCCGGAUUUAUUGGGUGUAAAGGGCGUGUAGGCGGGAAAGCAAGUCAGAAGUGAAAACUCGGGGCUCAACCCUGAACCUGCAUUGGAAACUGUUUUUCUUGAGUGCUGGAGAGGCAAGCGGAAUUCCGGGUGUAGCGGUGAAAUGCGUAGAUAUACGGAGGAACACCAGUGGCGAAGGCGGAUUGCUGGACAGUAACUGACGCUGAGGCGCGAAAGCGUGGGGAGCAAACAGGAUUAGAUACCCUGGUAGUC
rnacentral:rRNA from 1 species